AACGAACGCUGGCGGCAUGCCUAACACAUGCAAGUCGAACGAGACCUUCGGGUCUAUUGGCGCACGGGUGCGUAACGCGUGGGAAUCUGCCCUUCGGUUGGGAAUAACUGAGAGAAAUUUCAGCUAAUACCUUAUAAUUUCUUCGUACCAAAGAUUUAUCGCCGAGGGAUGAGCCCGCGUAGGAUUAGGUAGUUGGUGGGGUAAUGGCAUACCAAGCCGAAGAUACUUAGCUGGUCUGAGAGGAUGAUCAGGCACAAUGGGACUGCGACACGGACCAGACUGGUACGGGAGGCAGCAGUGGGGAAUAUUGGACAAUCGGCGAAAGUGUGAUACAGCAAUGCCGCGUGAGUGAUGCAGGCCUUAGGGAUGUAAAGCUCUUUUACCCGGGAUGAUAAUGACAGUACCGGGAGAAUAAGCUCCGGCUAACUCCGUG
rnacentral:rRNA from 1 species